rnacentral:snoRNA from 1 species
UGUCACGAUGAUGACUUCAUAAUAUUCAAGCUCAACAGACCGGAUUGCAGGCUCCUCUUUUAGAGUUUGCUUGCAUGUCGAUUACCUCGCUGAACUGAGUGACU